rnacentral:rRNA from 1 species
GACGAACGCUGGCGGCGUGCUUAACACAUGCAAGUCGAACGGAAAGGCCCUGCUUUUGUGGGGUGCUCGAGUGGCGAACGGGUGAGUAACACGUGAGUAACCUGCCCUUGACUUUGGGAUAACUUCAGGAAACUGGGGCUAAUACCGGAUAGGAGCUCCUGCUGCAUGGUGGGGGUUGGAAAGUUUCGGCGGUUGGGGAUGGACUCGCGGCUUAUCAGCUUGUUGGUGGGGUAGUGGCUUACCAAGGCUUUGACGGGUAGCCGGCCUGAGAGGGUGACCGGCCACAUUGGGAAUGAGAUACGGCCCAACCUCCUACGGGAGGCAGCAGUGGGGAAUAUUGCACAAUGGGCGGAAGCCUGAUGCAGCAACGCCGUGUGCGGGAUGACGGCCUUCGGGUUGUAAACCGCUUUCGCCUGUGACGAAGCGUGAGUGACGGUAAUGGGUAAAGAAGCACCGGCUAACUACGUG